AUCCAGCUGACGAGCCUCACAUAAGACAAAACGCGCGUCCUGGAU
rfam:Schistosoma mattheei strain Denwood, Zambia genome assembly, scaffold: SMTD_scaffold0004348